UGCCCAGCAACUCCUAUCCCUACCUCCACGCGGUACCGGUUGGAAACUAUGAGCAACCUUAGGGAAGAUCGGGUAACCAACCCCGGUGGGAACUUUGGUCAUAGGCUGACAGGGAAGG
rnacentral:ribozyme from 1 species